GAGUCAAUUGUUUUGGAAUCAUUUGGUCUGCAUUGGUUGUGCUGAACAAUAUUUGUUUUGAUUUAGAGAACAAGAAUUGGUUAAUAAGAGUUAUUUGUUCAGGAAUCAUUUGGUCUGAACCUUUUUGUGCUGUAUGUGUUUAGAUUCACUUAGAAGAACUGGCUUAUAAGAGUCAUUUGUUCAGGAAUCGGUUGGUUUACACUGGAUGCACUGAAUGUUUUUAAAUUCACCAACAUCAUAUUUGAGCUACGUUUGAACAAAAUAGCCUACAUCGCUGGCCUGUGUGUAGCUUAGAGCUCUAAUAUAUUUUCCUUUUUGUUUUUGUCUUUUUGAUCAACAGAUAUAUUGAGACCAACGAUAGGAAGACAAGACAAGAGAAGAGAAGAGAACAGGGCCAGAAGACAACAGAAUCUGGACUCAAAUUCACCUCGAGACGUCUCCACCUGAGCUCUAUGUUAAUGCACCAAAUUGCUUCAAUCCUUUACAACACAACCAAACAACCUGCAGUGUCGUGGAGGUUGAACAGACAGACACCUCUCUCUUAUGUCAAACAUCAAUUAAAGCAAUUUUCGCCUUGGAAGUAAGUGUCGCCCAGCUCUGUUUAUUAACAUCUCCACUACAGCUAGUGGAUUUUUUCCUUCUUAAAGGAACAGUUUCCCCCAAAAGUACAGAAAAAAUUCUUACAUACUGGCUGUAAUACACUAUUAAAACAACAUAUGAAGAAUAUAUCAGAAUAUAUCAAAAUCACGUAGAGUGGGGGUGUGGUGUUUCGGAGGGAAGCAUGCAAUCUAUAGUCGAGUGCAGUGGCUGAUGUGUACAAUCACUUUAGUAUGCAUGCUGUUUGGUGUUUACUUCCGCUUUUGAAAUUGAUCAUGUUCAGGAAGGAGGGGAAGGGUGGCACAGUAACUCGUUUGGGGGGCAAGGCCCGCAAAUGCCCCCCCUUUGGCGCUGGCCCUGAGUAGCUGUGACAUCAAUCCCGUUGUCAGAGCAAUGCCCCCUGUCUGCCACAUGAUGCAUCAUCCUUCAAAACUUCAGGACGUUCUCACUGGAACCAAACCAAAAUUAUUCCCUGCGGCAGAACAAAACUGUCUUGUGCUUAAUUGAUGGCGGUGGGGAAAAUGUGUUUGAAUAUUUAUCGGUCACGUUUAAAACAAGUGGCAGAGAAGCCAGGGGAAAUUCCAUUAGCAUAGAGCUUCAUUUAGCAUUAGCGAGGAGUCUCAUGUGAUCAGUGUCAGAGUAAACUCUGUUUCUUCAACUAUGAGCACUUGUGUCCCUGUGCACUUUGAGAAAAUAAACUCUCUUAAAACACUUUUCACACCUUCAUUCUGACAGUGUCAAACAGUUGACAUGCAUGCAUCAUGGGAGAAUUCCCUCAUUUUGAGACUUAUACAAAUACAUGUAUUACACAUGUAUUAUAUAGUAUAACAAUAAUCUAACUUUGAGGUCAUGAAUGCAUGAAUUAACAUUUCUGCAUUUGACAUUGAGAGCAUAGGUCGUAAUUUAGAUAUAUUUUUAACAUGGAAAAAUGUGGUUUUACAAAUGCUAGAAUUGCUUUAUGUAUCCCCCAACUGUAAGUCGCUUUGGAAAAAAGUGUCUGCAAAAUGACUAAAUUUAAAUGUAAAUGUGUUUUGUAAUGUAUAUGAAAAAAGUAUAAUAUAAGUAUAUCAUUAUAAUUGAUUUAAUAUCUGGGACAAGCAUGAAAUAAUAAAUUCUAUGCAUAUAUCAUAUGUGAACAGUAGUACUUGUUUACCAAAGAAUGAAAGCAUGUUAAUUUUUUUAUUUUUUUAUUAUAUUUAAAUCUGAUCACCCUUGUGACAUAAGUGUCCAA
rnacentral:lncRNA from 12 species